AGAAGAAGUGGUCUCAUCUAGAGAAACAGCAAUCUGGUUAACAAAAAGUCUCAUGUCACAACAUAAAUUUAAUGGAGGGACCUAAACUUCAGGUGAUUGCUGCUAAUUUAUUGUUAGUAAAAAUAUGUAUGUAUAAAUUUUGUUGGCAUAAAAAUGAUUUCUUAGAGAGUGUUGUUUGAUUGAAGGGCAUAACUUAUAAACAUAUUUUUCUGAUUGUUUUAUUCUCUACUUGCUUUGAUGCUGAAUAAACUUGCCCUUUCUUUUCUCAAAUCAUUUGUAUGAAUGUGGGAAAUAUGUGGCCAACAGGGUAUAUGUCAAAAUUCUUUUUUCUUGGUAACAUUGGAAAUUUCUGUAUGAAAGAAGGUUGCAGAGGAUCAAACUUUGGACCAUCCGCACUUAAUCAUUUGAUUAUUUUUCCCAAAACUUGCAUUUGUGAGUAAUAUAUUUGGGUUUAAAGCCCUACGCACCCUGCAUCUGAAGAUUCAUAAAUCCCUCCUGCAUAUUUUAAAACUUUCCUAGAUCUUCCUCGUGGCAUCCUAGUUAAGAGAGAUAAAUUAAACAAGUAUGGUUGCCUUCUAUUAGGUUAUCUUAUUAAACUUAUGGUUGGGGCUAUCUGCUGAGACUUAUGGUAAGGCAAUUUAUGAAUGUCUUUAUGGUGGACUUGAUUUUAUCAAAGACAAUGAAAAUGUGAUUAUUCUGAGCCACAAACACUUCUCAGCAUUUCCAUCUGCACUAAUGAUAGAAAAGGUAUGAUUCAGAAAAAAACAGGAAAAUGGACUACUACUGUGAUAAGAACAGCAUAAUGGGGCAAUAUAUUUUUUUUUUUUGUUAGACAAGUGAGUUCUCAUUAUUCAUUUGCAGUAAUAUGUCAUGUCAUGUCCUGACCCUUCAGCAUUUGAUGUCAGAUUCUUCCAUUGUACAUAGGAUGCACCCCCAUUAGACACCAGAUCCUGUAACAUAGGAUACCUAUCUUGAACCAGAAACCAUAUUGAACGGACAAAAAAAAUACUCCGAAUGAAUAAUGAUAAUAACUAAAUGAGUAAAUUCUGGUUAUGGGAAGGUUUUCUUUCUUUAUCAGAAGAAGCAGGAGAGUGCAUAUCAGAAAAGUUUUUCCAUGAUGUUAAUCUACUGCAACAGAAAUUAAAGAAACAAAUGAGGAAGAAAAAUUCUGGAAGAAACUGAAAAUUUUCCCAGCAGUCAGACAGAUACAUAAUCAUCAACUGUUAUUCUCUUUCAAUUUCCACAUUCAUUUCUAUCUUACAAAUACAAUACAAUAAUUAAUAUGUACAUAUAUGUAUAUACGAUUAUCCUGUCAUCUCCUUCACUGUUAGUCAGCUUAUUGCAUAUAAAAGGCAAAGAAAGACAAAAGGGAAGCUCCGAUCAAAGAUCCGAUAACUGGGUAGAUAUCAGCAGCUCCGCUGGCCGGGGAUGGAGCAGAAGCGGAACCUGAAGGGCCCUCAGCGGCGGUUGCUGUAGGGCCCUCAGCGGGGGUUGGUGUAGGGCUCUCGGCGUGUGCUGUCAAGGCUGCGGUCAUGGAGAUAGCAACAAGGAGGACAGCAAAGGAGAUCUUCUUCAUGUCCAUGAUGAAAAUGGAGGCCUAGGCGUGCCUUGGAGAUGAAGGAAAGUUUUAUUUAUUUUAUUUUUUAAAAAAUUUUGAAAUUUAAAAAAUAAAAUAAUAUUUUUUUUUUUUAGGUAUGAAGAAGAAAUGGUAAUGGGAAUUUAUAAAAGAUCAUUUUAUGGCUAAAUUUAGAAUAUUAUAAAAAAAGGGUUGAUUUGAGUUAUUCAAAGGUUGCUAAUUUUGAAUGGUGGGGAGGAAUUUGCAAGAGAUUUAUGGUGCAAAAAGAUUCAACUUGAAUCAAUCAAUCAAAGUCUAUUUGAAGUUCUUUCAUUGAGCUUAAGAUAUCAAAACAUCAUAAAUAAAAAAAAUUUUAAAAAAAUCAGAAGAAAAAACU
rnacentral:lncRNA from 1 species